rfam:Schistosoma rodhaini strain Burundi genome assembly, scaffold: SROB_scaffold0002322
AUCCAGCUGACGAGUCCCAAAUAGGACGAAACGCGCGUCCUGGGU